CGGAGGGGUAACAUUCUGCUCUGCCGAGUUUAGCAGCUCCACUCCGGUCUCUGCCCGCCGCUCCAAAAUGGAGCUGAGGCUAUCUGGAAACCAUGUCCUUCGGCCUGAGUAAGUGCCUCCAACUGAGAACACUGGAUGAGACAGUGGAUCCUGUCUGCAGCCUGUGCAGGGAUAGGCGUCAUGGUCUUUAGGCAGAAGGUGACAACAAAAGAGACUGCACAUGGUUUCAGUGAGGCACAAGUGGACUUGCAUAACCAUGUUGCAGAAGCUGCUUUAUUUGCUUUGCUCUGCCAGAUUCCUAAAGAUAAGUGAGGGUGAGACUCCAGCUCAGAGGAUACACGGGCCCUGGCAUGCAGGGAAACCACAGUGCCGCCCCUUUACAACUUGCUUGCACAGGCCUCCUGGCUCAACCCUUUGCCAGAAAAUACUUCGCUGAUCCCUAGACCUCUCCACUUUUAGGGCUGUUCACUAUGAAAAGAAUUUUUCUUUAUGUUUA